rnacentral:piRNA from 1 species
UACACUGAGGUGACAAAUGCAUGUGUGCU